UAAGUCAAUCAAUGGGAAACAGACUUGUCCGUCAUCGAUUCCAGCACUCAGCAGAAACAAUCAUUAGCGGAUGGGAAGGUGUUGCACAUGAUUCAAGGAUACUGAGUGAAUCUGUCCGUAAUCCAGCCUUCAAUUUUCCAAUGCCACCGCCAGACAAAUAUUACUUGUGUGAUGCAGCAUAUACGCAUACAAAGGGUUUUAUGACUCCUUACAGGAAUACAAGAUAUUGGU